rnacentral:rRNA from 1 species
GAUGAACGCUGGCGGCGUGCUUAACACAUGCAAGUCGAACGAGUGGUGAACGGGUGAGUAACACGUGAGUAACCUGCCCUUGACUCUAGGAUAAGCCCGGGAAACUGGGUCUAAUACUGGAUAGUCAUGGAUGGACUCGCGGCCUAUCAGCUUGUUGGUGAGGUAAUGGUCACCAAGGCGCGACGGGUAGCCGGCCUGAGAGGGUGACCGGCCACACUGGGACUGAGACACGGCCCAGACUCCUACGGGAGGCAGCAGUGGGGAAUAUUGCACAAUGGGCGAAAGCCUGAUGCAGCGACGCCGCGUGAGGGAUGACGGCCUUCGGGUUGUAAACCUCUUUCAGUAGGGAAGCGGUACCUGCAGAAGAAGCACCGGCUAACUACGUGCCAGCAGCCGCGGUAAUUC